GGUAGAAUUCCAUCCUAGGUGCCUAUGCAGAGUUCCUGCUAGUUAACACUUGUGUCUGGUUAAUUGCCUGUGGUCUGUGUCACUGCCCUCCACACACCACUGAAGCAGAAGAGUAGGACACCCUCUUGUCAUCCUGCUUGAAUGUGUUCAUCUUCUCACAGCACUUUGUCUUGAAAGUCUUCAGUAAAGGCUCACUGAGGCCGGGGGAUGCUGGUGGGCCUGGAGCCCGGUGCAGAAGCCAGGCUGUUGUGCCAGGAACAGUGACCCAGACUACAUUUAGUUCUAGUCAAACACACCCUACCUCUGCUCUGGUUGUGGCAGCUUCUCUCCCAACUGCAGGCGACACUCGAUGUCUCUCCCCUUGGGCUCCAUCUGCUUCAACUGCUACUAGGAAGGAGAAAAAAUAUCAUGUUGGUAGCACUUAAAGUACUAUGUAGGCAUAGAAUCCAUAAGUAAGAUGACACAAACAAUUUGUAUGUCCUCUUAGUCAUCUAUGUAUCCAGUCUACUGAAGUUGUAACCUCCUUUUGUUGAAAACAGAGAGAGAGAAUUAUUAAACCUUCCAUAGUUGGUAUUCCCAGCUGUUCCUUGGGCUGCAGAACAUGGACUGUGUGACGGACAUUAACACUGUUGUUCUGUGUAUUAAUAAACAGUAGCAGUCACACUCUG
rnacentral:lncRNA from 1 species